GACGAACGUUGGCGGCGUGCUUAAUACAUGCAAGUCAACUGAAGCAGUGGUAGCAAUAUCGCUGUGGAGGUGGCGCACGGGUGAGUAACACGUAGGUAAUCUGCCUUCAGGUCUGGCAUAACUCCGGGAAACCGGGGCUAAUAGCAGAUGAUGCAGCGGCUCGACAUCGAGACAGUUGUUAAAGCUAUGGCGCCUGAAGAUGAGCCUGCGUCUGAUUAGCUAGUUGGCGGGGUAACGGCCCACCAAGGCAACGAUCAGUAGCUGGUCUGAGAGGAUGAUCAGCCACACUGGAACUGAGACACGGUCCAGACUCCUACGGGAGGCAGCAGUAAGGAAUAUUGCUCAAUGGGAGAAAUCCUGAAGCAGCAACGCCGCGUGAGGGACGAAGGGCUUUUGCUUGUAAACCUCUGUAGUGAGAGAAAAAAAUCCCAAUCGUUGGGGCAUGAUGGUAUCUCAAAAGUAAGCCCCGGCUAACUACGUG
rnacentral:rRNA from 1 species